UACGUAGGGUGCAAGCGUUGUCCGGAAUUAUUGGGCGUAAAGAGCUUGUAGGCGGUUUGUCGCGUCUGCUGUGAAAUUUCGGGGCUCAACCCCGAACUUGCAGUGGGUACGGGCAGACUAGAGUGUGGUAGGGGAGACUGGAAUUCCUGGUGUAGCGGUGAAAUGCGCAGAUAUCAGGAGGAACACCGAUGGCGAAGGCAGGUCUCUGGGCCUUAACUGACGCUGAGGAGCGAAAGCAUGGGGAGCGAACAGG
rnacentral:rRNA from 1 species